rnacentral:pre_miRNA from 1 species
CAUAUACUCUCUCCGUUCGGAAUUACUUGUCGCAGAAAUGGAUGUAUCUAGAUGUAUUUUAGUUCUAGAUACAUCCAUUUCCGAGACAAGUAAUUCCGAACGGAGGGAGUACAUG